rnacentral:lncRNA from 1 species
CAUCUAUAACUAAAGAUAUUAAAAGAUUAAUCUGAUCAUACCGGAUAUCGACGAAAACCCUCGAUGGGUUAACUUUGCAAACAAAGUAUACUUUACAUAUUCUCUCUAUGAAAUCCCUACGGGAAAAAUAGAUAAAUUUUGAGAGAAUCCAUUCAUAACCCCACGGAAGAAUUAGGAGAAAGAAUAGACGAAGAAUACUUUGAACGGGAACAAAAGUUGUGCAAAAGAAAGUUCUGGCAGGGCAGGUAUUUGACUUGGUCAUGAUUGAAAGUUUUUAAGGCCAAAAAUUGGGGUGAAAAUUAGCCACUUUAUGCCAUCACUACAUUAUGCUUGACUCGACUUAUCAAUACUAUGCAUCAUUCAUUACUUGUUCUGUAGGCCCACCACGAAGAAGUUCAUAGAAACAAAGUUUUAUAAAAUUAUGGUUUUCCCUACAUGUAUAUCAGUAACAACUACUGAAUAGUAUAGUAUAUAUAAUCAACAUUUUAAGGAAAUUAUGAUUGGAACCCACAAAAGGUAAUUUCAAAUGCCUCGUCGUAAAGAAAUUUAGGGAUAGAAACUGCUGAAAUUUAUGCUGACACAUAGUUAUGACAGAUACUCCCAACAAUUCAAAUCUCAUCAACAUGUUCACCGAGCAUUGUCGCUAAAAAAACUUCACUUUCAAACAUUAACAAAAUCAUCACUUACUAUAUUUCUAUUGUAAAUUCAACAAACAGUAGCCCAUGUAGGUUGAACAAUAAGGUAAACAGAUACAUAUCAGGAUACAACAGGUACAUCCAAUUGGCAUAAAAAUCAUAACCUUAAAUAUACAAAAUUACACUUGAUAUUCUCAGGUAGAGAACUUCCCCUUUCUGCAUCAAUUUUGAAUCUAUAUAGUUAUUGGUGUUGCUAGAGCGUAUAUUUUUAAGAUAGUAAAAUAAAAAUAACAGAUGCUUUAACAAAUAGAGAAUACUACUUAGACUUCAGUUGUGCUGACCAAUUAACUUCCGUUUUUUUCUCUUUUGAGGAUAAAUUCAAGAAGCAGCACGACAAAACUAAGAUUUUCAUGUAACUAAACCAUUCAAUCUAACAUUACUGGAAAUAAUUCAUAUACAAAAUAGCUAUAUAUAAGGAGUAGCAAUUUUUACCUCUUUAAUUUGUUCCAAGUACUACUUGUCUUCAUCUCCUGGUAUACAUGAAGUUUAUAAUCUAACUCUGAAGGAGAGAGAUAGAUUAACAAGCAUAUGCAAAUUUGGUUUGUUUCUUUGACCGGAAUAUAUUUUUUCACAAGCUUAUUACCACAAGAUAACUGUAUUUAUAACAUUCAAACCAAAAAAGGAGUCAGCAGACCCUAAGUAACAAAUUUAUUGUUCAUUCUACUGGUAUAAAUAAUAAAAAUGUAAUACCCCGUUGGGGUUCAGUCUUUUAAUGACCAAUCUUUUAAAGAAAGUAAAAUAGAAGGGAAAAAAUGAAGAGAACUUAGAAGUCACGUAAGAAAUUCAAAAUAAACAAAUUAAUAACAGAGAACAAAUCAGAACCCAACCUCAGUUUGUUUUCACCUUUCUGAAACGAAUCUUAAGACUAAACUGAAGAAAAGAUUGAUAAUCAAGCCAAAACCCCAAAGACCUAAUAUUUUUGCAUAAGAAGAAAAAGUAGAACAGAAAGCACAAAUAAAAUGAAAUGCUGGAGUGAUUGGAAUAAACCUGCUCUUUGUAGUAGAUGUUUCGUUGAAUUAUUAGGUGAGGUCUGCUGGAUUUUGGGGCAAUUGAUGCUGCCCUCUUUCCUUCAUGUGGAAUAAUUUGGAAGUGGAUGCUUCUAACAAGUGUUGAAUGGAGUUUUUAGGUUUGGGGAAUUGAGAGUCCACGCGUUGGUCAAGAAAGAGUCACCAAUUGAGCUGUAAAUUAAUAAAUUACAAAAUUACCCCAGAAAAAAUAGAAAAUUCAAGGGAACACACACGUUGACG